rnacentral:lncRNA from 1 species
AGAAAAGAUGAUGUCCUGGGAAGGAGUAGGAUGUAGUCACAUUGUCUGCUCUUGAAUUCGUGGAACUGACAUGUGACUGUUCCUUUGCCAUCCCACAUCCUGCCAGCCUUCUGGUUCUUGAAAGAGCCUCUUUUGCAGAUCCUCCUAUUUACUUGUUUGUCUAUCGACCACGCUGAGAAAGGCUAUGCGGAGCUUGGUUGUUUCGGUUUUCUGCCUGUUUGCUGUAUGCCUGGCUGCUGAGAAAACAGGUAAUAGGAAUUACAUAAACAUGACUGGAAGAAAUAAGUGACUCACAUUUCUCAUCUGAAUACCAUCCCAAGAAUUUCUACUGUAUCAGAGAUGAACAAAAGCAGAACUCCUACAACCCAGA